UCCGUACGGUGGCGAGCGUUCUGCUAGACCUGUACUGACACUGAGGGACGAAAGCUAGGGGAGCGAAUGGGAUAGAUACCCCAGUAGUCCUAGCCGUAAACGAUGGAUACUAGGCGUGGCUUGUAUCGACCCGAGCCGUGCCGGAGCUAACGCGUUAAGUAUCCCGCCUGGGGAGUACGCACGCAAGUGUGAAACUCAAAGGAAUUGACGGGGGCCCGCACAAGCGGUGGAGUAUGUGGUUUAAUUCGAUGCAACGCGAAGAACCUUACCAAGACUUGACAUGUCGCGAAUCUCCUUGAAAGGGGAGAGUGCCUUAGGGAGCGCGAACACAGGUGGUGCAUGGCUGUCGUCAGCUCGUGUCGUGAGAGGUUGGGUUAAUCCCGCAACGAGCGCAACCCUCGUUUUUAGUUGCCAGCAUUAAGUUGGGCACUCUAAAAAGACUGCCGGUGACAAACCGGAGAAAGGUGGGGAUGACGCCAGUCAGCAUGCCCCUUUAGUCUUGGGUUCACACUUCUACAAUGUUCGGAAGAAGGGAGCUAACAGCAUGUUAAGCAAAUCGGAAACGUACUCAGUUCAAUCGAGGUG
rnacentral:rRNA from 1 species